rnacentral:rRNA from 1 species
UACGAAGGGGGCUAGCGUUGUUCGGAAUUACUGGGCGUAAAGCGUGCGCAGGCGGCUGCUCAAGUCAGGGGUGAAAGCCCAGAGCUCAACUCUGGAAUUGCCUUUGAGACUGAGUGGCUUGAGUACGGGAGAGGUGAGUGGAAUUCCCAGUGUAGAGGUGAAAUUCGUAGAUAUUGGGAAGAACACCGGUGGCGAAGGCGGCUCACUGGCCCGUAACUGACGCUGAGGAGCGAAAGCGUGGGGAGCGAACAGG